ensembl:snRNA U2 U2 spliceosomal RNA
AUUGCUUCUCGGCCUUUCAGCCAAGAUCAAGUGUAGUAUCUGUUCUUAUCAGUUUAAUAUCUGAUGUGUCCUCUAUCCAACGGGAGAGGGUAAGGAAAGGGGCUAAAUUCAU